UGUGCAUGUGGGUGGUUAGAAAAUUUGCAGUUCAAAAUAUAGGUGGCAGUAAAUACUUAGUUUAAAAAAAAAAUGAAUUAUUCUUAACUAUUUGAUUCCAUUGGGUAACACAAAUGUCAAAAAUCCUCUGAGUCAUGACGAAGAGGGUUGCUGGCUAGAAAAGUUUUCCAACUCGUCUAUUUCGAUUACGGAGCGGCUGGAAUAAAGAAGUGCGCGUCGCGAGCAAUCUUUAUAAAAGUUAUUUUUUUCCUUUUUACGUUCAAUUUUUCUAAGUUCUUUCGAAUUAUUGAAACUUAAAUAAAUUUCGCGUCGAACUUCUUUAGUGAAAUAAUCUUUCGUAAAAUAAAAGCGUCGUCCCACGGCGCUUUUUAUUACGGGCUGGAUUUUUCUUCGCGGGAUCUGCGGAUUUCGUGCGUCGAGGCGAUCAGCUACAAGCGUCGCCAUCUUGUCGUUUGGAGGUUAAAGUUCGGAUUUUGGGCAAGCUGCCUGGCAGCGCCGCCAUCUUGUGCUAGGAGCGAUUAAAGGGUCGCAAGCUCGUGUGCCACGUUACGGCCCGCCCAUUGGGGUAGCUAAACAGAGGCGAGUGGCAAGUUCGUUAAAUUAACCGUAACGAAAUUAACGCAGUGGUCGUCAAUUGCCACCGUCGUUUAAAGUCACCAAAGAGGUGACAGCCGAGAGCCGGUAUUCGCUGUGCGCGCCAAUUACGUUCAGUGUUUGCCAGUCCAAGGGGAGGGUUCCCGUGGCCUUUAUCGGUUGUGUAGACGGAAACAGUAGUACGUGAAGGCCGGUAUUGAUACCCCAGCGUCCCUUCCUGCGGAAAUAAUCCGGAUUAGCUCGAUUCGUCGUGCGUAGUGCUCUCUGGCCCCGAAACCGGAAGUCUUCCGCCAGC